AACGCACCUUGCGCUCCUUGGUAUUCCGAGGAGCAUGCCUGUUUGAGUGUCAUUAAUAUAUCAACCUCUUUAAAUUUUGAGAGUGUUUGGAUGUGGGGGUGUUAUUUUGCUGGCCUUCUCCAAGGUCAGCUCCCCUGAAAUGUAUUAGCGGAACAAUUUGUUGACCGUUCAUUGGUGUGAUAGCAUAUCUACGCUAUUGACGUAAAGCAAGUUCAGCUUAUAACAGUCCAUUGACUUGGACAAUUCUCUAUUUAUUAAUGUGACCUCAAAUCAGGUAGGACUACCCGCUGAACUUAA
rnacentral:misc_RNA from 2 species